ensembl:lncRNA
AUCAGCUCCAGCAGGACUUGUAACCGAAGAUGAUGAUUAUGCUGCUGCUCCUCAUACCUGUUUCCCAGCAUGCCUCAGGUAUGGAGGUGAAGGUGUAUGAUGGGGUGGAGUCUGUCCUGCUGCCCUGUCAGUUACCAGCUGAUGUUUCCAGUGACUUCUUAGCAGCAGUGUGGGACCGUGAGGAGCUCAAGGACCCAACAGUCCACGUGCGUCUGCAGAGUGGUGAUGAUUUUAAAGAUCAGAACGUUCGUUACACCAACCGAACAUCACUGAGAGCCGACGCUCUGCAGACUGGAGACCUCAGCCUCACUCUGAGGAACCCCACAGUCUCUGACAGUGGAAACUACACCUGCAACACCCGAGUAUUUAGAGGAAAUCAGAGCCAGAUCGAUAUCCAACUGAAGGUGACAG